rnacentral:rRNA from 1 species
AUGGGAACGCGAAGAACCUUACCUAGACUUGACAUCUCCUGAAUUACUCUGUAAUAGAGGAAGCCCUUCGGGGCAGGAAGACAGGUGGUGCAUGGUUGUCGUCAGCUCGUGUCGUGAGAUGUUGGGCUAAGUCCCGCAACGAGCGCAACCCUUAUUGUUAGUUGCUACCAUUAAGUUGAGCACUCUAGCGAGACUGCCCGGGUUAACCGGGAGGAAGGUGGGGAUGACGUCAAAUCAUCAUGCCCCUUAUGUCUAGGGCAACACACGUGCUACAAUGGUGAGUACAGAUAGAUGCGAUACCGCAAGGUGGAGCCAAACUCUAAAACUCAUCCCAGUUCGGAUUGUAGGCUGCAACUCGCCUACAUGAAGUUGGAGUUGCUAGUAAUCGCGAAUCAGAAUGUCGCGGUGAAUACGUUCCCGGGUCUUGUACACACCG